AUUGAACGCUGGCGGCAUGCUUUACACAUGCAAGUCGAACGGUAACAGGCCGCAAGGUGCUGACGAGUGGCGAACGGGUGAGUAAUGCAUCGGAACGUGCCCAGUCGUGGGGAUAACUACUCGAAAGAGUAGCUAAUACCGCAUACGAUCUAUGGAUGAAAGCGGGGGACCGUAAGGCCUCGCGCGAUUGGAGCGGCCGAUGUCAGAUUAGGUAGUUGGUGGGGUAAAGGCUCACCAAGCCAACGAUCUGUAGCUGGUCUGAGAGGACAACCAGCCACACUGGGACUGAGACACGGCCCAGACUCCUACGGGAGGCAGCAGUGGGGAAUUUUGGACAAUGGGCGCAAGCCUGAUCCAGCAAUGCCGCGUGCAGGAAGAAGGCCUUCGGGUUGUAAACUGCUUUUGUACGGAACGAAACGGCUCUGGUUAAUACCCGGGGCUAAUGACGGUACCGUAAGAAUAAGCACCGGCUAACUACGUG
rnacentral:rRNA from 1 species